rnacentral:rRNA from 1 species
GUUACUUCGGUACAUCGGUGACAGGUGGUGCAUGGUUGUCGUCAGCUCGUGUCGUGAGAUGUUGGGUUAAGUCCCGCAACGAGCGCAACCCCUAUUGUUAGUUGCCAUCAUUCAGUUGGGCACUCUAGCGAGACUGCCGGUAAUAAACCGGAGGAAGGUGGGAUGACGUCAAAUCAUCAUGCCCCUUAUGACCUGGGCUACACACGUGCUACAAUGGUUGGUACAACGAGUUGCGAGUCGGUGACGGCGAGCUAAUCUCUUAAAGCCAAUCUCAGUUCGGAUUGUAGGCUGCAACUCGCCUACAUGAAGUCGGAAUCGCUAGUAAUCGCGGAUCAGCACGCCGCGGUGAAUACGUUCCCGGGCCUU